rnacentral:rRNA from 1 species
GCAGUAGCCGCGGUAAUACGAGGGGUGCAAGCGUUAUUCGGAUUGAUUGGGUGUAAAGGGUGUGCAGACGGCUUAUUAAGUCACUUGUUAAAUUCUUCGGCCUAACUGAAGGUCUGCAAGUGAUACUGAUGAGCUAGAGGGUGGAAGAGAGAAGUGGAAUUCUCGGAGUAGCGGUAAAAUGCGUAGAUCUCGAGAGGAACACCAAUGGCGAAGGCAGCUUCUUGGUCCAUUCCUGACGUUCAUACACGAAAGCGUGGGGAGCAAACAGGAUUAGAUACCCGCGUAGUCCCUGUCUCUUAUAA